UUGUUGGUGAGGUAACGGCUCACCAAGGCGACGACGGGUAGCCGGCCUGAGAGGGUGACCGGCCACACUGGGACUGAGACACGGCCCAGACUCCUACGGGAGGCAGCAGUGGGGAAUAUUGCACAAUGGGCGCAAGCCUGAUGCAGCAACGCCGCGUGAGGGACGACGGCCUUCGGGUUGUAAACCUCUUUUAGUAGGGAAGAAGCGAAAGUGACGGUACCUGCAGAAAAAGCACCGGCUAACUACGUGCCAGCAGCCGCGGUAAUGCGUAGGGUGCAAGCGUUGUCCGGAAUUAUUGGGCGUAAAGAGCUCGUAGGCGGUCUGUCGCGUCUGCUGUGAAAACCCGAGGCUCAACCUCGGGCCUGCAGUGGGUACGGGCAGACUAGAGUGCGGUAGGGGAGAUUGGAAUUCCUGGUGUAGCGGUGGAAUGCGCAGAUAUCAGGAGGAACACCGAUGGCGAAGGCAGAUCUCUGGGCCGUAACUGACGCUGAGGAGCGAAAGCGUGGGGAGCGAACAGGAUUAGAUACCCUGGUAGUCCACGCCGUAAACGUUGGGCGCUAGAUGUGGGGACCAUUCCACGGUUUCCGUGCCGCAGCUAACGCAUUAAGCGCCCCGCCUGGGGAGUACGGAAUCUCUAGAGGAUCCC
rnacentral:rRNA from 1 species